rnacentral:rRNA from 1 species
UACAGAGGUCUCAAGCGUUGUUCGGAUUCAUUGGGCGUAAAGGGUGUGUAGGUGGCGCCGUUAGUCGGGUGUGAAAUUUCGGAGCUUAACUCCGAAACUGCAUUCGAUACUGCGGUGCUUGAGGACUGGAGAGGAGACUGGAAUUCAUGGUGUAGCAGUGAAAUGCGUAGAGAUCAUGAGGAAGACCAGUGGCGAAAGGCGGGUCUCUGGACCGAUACUGACGCUGAGGAGCGAAAGCGUGGGGAGCGAACAGG